rnacentral:rRNA from 1 species
CCAAGUUUUUAAGGGCGCACGGUGGAUGCCUUGGCACCAGGAACCGAUGAAGGACGUGGGAGGCCACGAUAGUCCCCGGGGAGUCGUCAACCAGGCUUUGAUCCGGGGGUUUCCGAAUGGGGAAACCCGGCAGUCGUCAUGGGCUGUCACCCGCUGCUGAACACAUAGGCAGUGUGGAGGGAACGCGGGGAAGUGAAACAUCUCAGUACCCGCAGGAAGAGAAAACAACCGUGAUUCCGGGAGUAGUGGCGAGCGAAACCGGAUGAGGCCAAACCGUAUGCGUGUGAGACCCGGCAGGGGUUGCGUAUACGGGGUUGUGGGAUCUCUCUUCUGUCGUCUGCCGGCGACAGGACGAGUCAGAAACCGUUGAUGUAGGCGAAGGACAUGCGAAAGGUCCGGCGUAGAGGGUAAGACCCCCGUAGUCGAAACGUCAACGGCUCGUUUGAGAGACACCCAAGUAGCACGGGGCCCGAGAAAUCCCGUGUGAAUCUGGCGGGACCACCCGCUAAGCCUAAAUAUUCCCUGGUGACCGAUAGCGGAUAGUACCGUGAGGGAAUGGUGAAAAGUACCGCGGGAGCGGAGUGAAAUAGUACCUGAAACCGUGUGCCUACAAGCCGUGGGAGCGUCGGAACAAGGCUUGCCUUGUUCUCGUGACUGCGUGCCUUUUGAAGAAUGAGCCUGCGAGUUUGCGGUGUGUUGCGAGGUUAACCCGUUCUCCCCGAAAUGCAUUUAGGUGCAGCGUCGUGUGUUUCUUGCCGGAGGUAGAGCACUGGAUAGGCGAUGGGCCCUACCGGGUUACUGACCUUAGCCAAACUCCGAAUGCCGGUAAGUGAGAGCGCGGCAGUGAGACUGUGGGGGAUAAGCUCCAUGGUCGAGAGGGAAACAGCCCAGAGCAUCGACUAAGGCCCCUAAGCGUACGCUAAGUGGGAAAGGAUGUGGAGUCGCACAGACAACCAGGAGGUUGGCUUAGAAGCAGCCACCCUUGAAAGAGUGCGUAAUAGCUCACUGGUCUAGUGAUUCCGCGCCGACAAUGUAGCGGGGCUCAAGCGUACCGCCGAAGUCGUGUCAUUGCGAUAUUAACCCCCAACGGGGAUCGUGAUGGGUAGGGGAGCGUCGUGUGCCGGGUGAAGCAGCCGCGGAAGCGAGUUGUGGACGGUUCACGAGUGAGAAUGCAGGCAUGAGUAGCGAUACACACGUGAGAAACGUGUGCGCCGAUUGACUAAGGGUUCCUGGGUCAAGCUGAUCUGCCCAGGGUAAGUCGGGACCUAAGGCGAGGCCGACAGGCGUAGUCGAUGGAUAACCGGUUGAUAUUCCGGUACCCGCUGUGAAGCGUCAAACAUUGAAUCCAGUGAUGCUAAGCCCGUGAAGCCGUUCCGGACCCUUCGGGGAAAGGAAAGUGGUGGAGCCGGUGACCCAAGCUGGUAGUAGGUGAGUGAUGGGGUGACGCAGGAAGGUAGUCCAUCCCGGGCGGUGGUUGUCCCGGGGUAAGGGUGUAGGCCGUGCGGUAGGUAAAUCCGUCGCACACAAGGCUGAGACCUGAUGCCGAGCCGAUUGUGGUGAAGUGGAUGAUCCUAUGCUGUCGAGAAAAGCCUCUAGCGAGUUUCAUGGCGGCCCGUACCCUAAACCGACUCAGGUGGUCAGGUAGAGAAUACCGAGGCGUUCGGGUGAACUAUGGUUAAGGAACUCGGCAAAAUGCCCCCGUAACUUCGGGAGAAGGGGGGCCAUCACUGGUGAUCCAAUUUACUUGGUGAGCUGGGGGUGGCCGCAGAGACCAGCGAGAAGCGACUGUUUACUAAAAACACAGGUCCGUGCGAAGCCGUAAGGCGAUGUAUACGGACUGACGCCUGCCCGGUGCUGGAACGUUAAGGGGACCGGUUAGUCACUCUUCGGGGUGGCGAAGCUGAGAACUUAAGCGCCAGUAAACGGCGGUGGUAACUAUAACCAUCCUAAGGUAGCGAAAUUCCUUGUCGGGUAAGUUCCGACCUGCACGAAUGGCGUAACGACUUCUCGACUGUCUCAACCAUAGGCCCGGUGAAAUUGCACUACGAGUAAAGAUGCUCGUUUCGCGCAGCAGGACGGAAAGACCCCGGGACCUUUACUACAGUUUGAUAUUGGUGUUCGGUUCGGCUUGUGUAGGAUAGCUGGGAGACUUUGAACUCUGGACGCCAGUUCAGGGGGAGUCGUCGUUGAAAUACCAGUCUGGUCGUGCUGGAUGUCUAACCUGGGUCCGUGAUCCGGAUCAGGGACAGUGUCUGAUGGGUAGUUUAACUGGGGCGGUUGCCUCCUAAAGAGUAACGGAGGCGCCCAAAGGUUCCCUCAGCCUGGUUGGCAAUCAGGUGUUGAGUGUAAGUGCACAAGGGAGCUUGACUGUGAGACCGACGGGUCGAGCAGGGACGAAAGUCGGGACUAGUGAUCCGGCGGUGGCUUGUGGAAGCGCCGUCGCUCAACGGAUAAAAGGUACCCCGGGGAUAACAGGCUGAUCUUCCCCAAGAGUCCAUAUCGACGGGAUGGUUUGGCACCUCGAUGUCGGCUCGUCGCAUCCUGGGGCUGGAGUCGGUCCCAAGGGUUGGGCUGUUCGCCCAUUAAAGCGGUACGCGAGCUGGGUUUAGAACGUCGUGAGACAGUUCGGUCCCUAUCCGCUGUGCGCGUAGGAAUAUUGAGAAGGGCUGUCCCUAGUACGAGAGGACCGGGACGGACGAACCUCUGGUGUGCCAGUUGUUCUGCCAAGGGCAUGGCUGGUUGGCUACGUUCGGGAGGGAUAACCGCUGAAAGCAUCUAAGCGGGAAGCCUGCUUCGAGAUGAGUAUUCCCACCUCCUUGAGAGGGUAAGGCUCCCAGUAGACGACUGGGUUGAUAGGCCGGAUCUGGAAGCACGGUAACGUGUGAAGGUGACCGGUACUAAUAGGCCGAGGGCUUGUCCUC